rnacentral:sRNA from 1 species
AAAUCCGGCCUCUAGCUGUAUAUUCGUAUAGCUGUAUGUUGGUAGGAUGGACCUACAUGGUUUAAUGAAAGUGGAAGGAAAAUCUAUUUUCAGUCAGAUCUGAUAGAUAUUUCAUAAGGAAUUAGAACUUAGUUACUUAAAAAUUAUAUUCUAGAAGUGUAUAAAGCAAACAUUUAUUAUAUUCAUUUACCUUUUUAAAAAAUUUUAAGCAAAGCCCAUAUUCCUGUUUUGGGGAUAUCUGAAAGAGAGACCAUUUACAACUUUAGAAUUACAGAUUCGUGAAGGAUCUGAUUUUAUUUUCUUUGUCAACUUUAAUUUUUGAUUCAGUGGGUACACGUAUAGGUUUGUUACCUGAGUAUAUUGUGUGAUGCUGAGGUUUGGUAUACGGAUAAAGCGAUCCGAUUUUACACUCUUAUGCAGUGGAUCUACCACUACUACAGUGCCUGCUACAGGGCUGCUAAUGUUUUCUGAAUAUUGUCUAAGUACUUCUAGAAAUAGGAAAGAAGAUCACAGAAUCAUAAAUUCUUCUAUCUUAAAGGAGCCUUCAGGAUAAUUAUUAUUUUAUAAAAAAAUGCAGCUAGGCUAUUGUAUACAUCAAACAGGCUGUUUUGUCUCAUGGUGAACUGAAUCUGCUUCAGUGAAACUUUCCCAAUUCUGUCUGAGGUCUCCCUUUGGACACAAUGUAGAAUAAAUCUAUUGCUCUCCUGCACAGAGGACACUCAAA